AACGAACGCUGGCGGCAGGCCUAACACAUGCAAGUCGAGCGGGGGAGCAAUCCCUAGCGGCGGACGGGUGAGUAACGCGUGGGAACGUACCCUUUGCUUCGGAAUAGCCCCGGGAAACUGGGAGUAAUACCGGAUGUGCCCUACGGGGGAAAGAAUUUCGGCAAAAGGAUCGGCCCGCGUUGGAUUAGGUAGUUGGUGGGGUAAUGGCCUACCAAGCCGACGAUCCAUAGCUGGUUUGAGAGGAUGAUCAGCCACACUGGGACUGAGACACGGCCCAGACUCCUACGGGAGGCAGCAGUGGGGAAUCUUAGACAAUGGGCGCAAGCCUGAUCUAGCCAUGCCGCGUGAGUGAAGAAGGCCUUAGGGUUGUAAAACUCUUUCGCCGGAGAAGAUAAUGACGGUAUCCGGAGAAGAAGCCCCGGCUAACUUCGUGCCAGCAGCCGCGGUAAU
rnacentral:rRNA from 1 species